rnacentral:lncRNA from 1 species
CGCCCGCCAUGAUGCCCGGCUCAUUUUCUGUGUUUUCAGUAGAGACGGGGUUUCACUGUGUUAGCCAGGAAAGUCUUGAUCUCCUGACCUCGUGAUCCUGACCUCGGCCUCCCAAAGUGCUGGGAUUACAGGCGCGAGCCACCGCGCCCGACAGCAGUUAUGAAGUUCUAAAAGCAAGUCUUAAUCAGGAAGUGUCCUUGAUCACCAACGGCUCGCCCAGGCAUGCUGGCUCUCUUCCACUUCCACCUUCCACCAUGGGAUGACGCAGUAAGAAGGCCAUCAGUAGAUGCCAGUCCCUCAACCUUGAACUUUCCAGACGCAGAACUUUAUGCCUCCAUUUUCCUCUGCUGCAUGGCCCCAGGAGAGAUUUUAAUUAGCUUUCUAACCUUGGUCCAGAUUGCACAUGCAAAUGGUAGAGGAUGCAACACCCCCGCUUGUGGAGCUGCCGCUUGUGUCUGGCAUGAAAAUUCACAAGAAGAGAGGAAAUACUGAGGAGAAAAUGGCAGAUUGUGUUUGCUGAAUUUGAUUGACGAAGAAGUCACCAUGAAAAUCACAGUGAACCAUUUGGAAAGCAAACUGCCAAAAAAUAAUAGUUAGUCAUGCUCUCAGGCUGGUUGUUUUGGCUGUUGUGGGUUUCUUGCAUUUCCAGAUGAUUGCAAAGAGCUGUUUCUCAAUUUCUGCAACAAGUGCCAGCUGAAAUUUUGGUACCAGUUUCAUUAAAUAUGUAGAACAAUUUGAGCCUGAGUGAGUUCUGUGGAGCCCAUACUACCUGCGAUUCAAGCCAGCAACCUUGGAAUCUCCCUGAACAAUUUCUAUGGUGUCCAAUCACAUUUGCAAUCACUCCCCACACUCAGACUGUGUAUUUUUGGCUGCUCUCCAAGCCCUUGAGGAAAACACUUGGAGUCAAUCUCAUCCUUUUGAUGCAGUGCUGAGUAAUGAGAGAUUUUAGAAGAUGGAAAAAAGAAAAAUACAUUGCACUCUGAAACAUUCUACAUAAAAAUGGAAUGUGUGGUCAUUAGAUUAACUCAGGCUUUGGACCUCGGGGCAUAAAACCCAUUUCCUC